rnacentral:lncRNA from 1 species
ACCUAUUGGAUGAUUAAAAUCUAAGGUUGGAUUUAUUCUCGUGAUUAUGCGUGCUUGUGUAAAAGAAAUAUCGAAUCUCUCUUGCCUAUACUAAGAAGUGUGAACAAAAAAAGAUAAGGAUAUCAAAGUAUGCCAGCCUGCUAGGGAAAUAGAAAUAGAUGCUUACGUUCACAAAACUUGGCGAUUUGAUUUGUGUAAAUUAUGCUUAUUAUUUUGAAGGCAUCGGUUAACACAAUGAAAUAUUUGGUUUUUGCACAUUUGUAAUGCUUUAGUGUUCUGCAGCUAAGAUUAUUUGUCAAUACAAUGGCUGGUCAUGUGUUUAGGGUUCAUUUGGCGUGGUUUUUGAAAAGUAAAAAAGUUGCCUUUAAGAUUAAGAAAAUGCUUUUGGACUUGUUUAAUAUCAUUCUGGGAGUGGCUUAAGGUGCAAUCCUACCUGAAACAGCAGCUGUCCCAACCAGGCCAUUGAUAUAAUUUAUUUGCCUUAACUUUACCCAAAUUUUAUCCAUGUCUUUUGCCCUUUUCUCAAGGGAGUUUUCAUAUUUCUUGAAAUCCGAC